rnacentral:rRNA from 1 species
GAUGAACGCUGGCGGCGUGCCUAAUACAUGCAAGUCGAGCGAACGGACGAGAAGCUUGCUUCUCUGAUGUUAGCGGAGGACGGGUGAGUAACACGUGGAUAACCUCCCUAUCAGACUGGGAUAACUUCGGGAAACCGGAGCUAAUACCGGAUAAUAUUUUGAACCGCGUGGGUCAAAAGUGAAAGACGGUCUUGCUGUCACUUAUAGAUGGAUCCGAGCUGCAUUAGGUAGUUGGUAAGGUAACGGCUUACGAAGGCAACGAUGCAUAGCCGACGUGAGAGGGGGAUCGGCCACAUGGGAGCGGGGACACGCACCAGGCGCCUACGGGAGGCAGCAGUAUGGAACGUGCCGCAGUGGUCGAAAGUCUGACGGAGCAACGCCGCGUGAGUGAUGAAGGUGUUCGGAGCGGAAAGAUCUGUUAUUAGUGAAGAACAGAUUUGGAAUUAACUGUGCCCUGCUUGACGGUACCUAAUCAGAAAGCCACGGCUAACUACGUG